UACGGGGGGGGCAAGCGUUGUUCGGAAUUACUGGGCGUAAAGGGCCAGUAGGCGGCCAACUAAGUCCGACGUGAAAUCCCAAGGCUUAACCUUGGAACUGCGUCGGAUACUGGAUGGCUUGAAUUCGGGAGAGGGAUGCAGAAUUCCAGGUGUAGCGGUGAAAUGCGUAGAUAUCAGGAGGAACACCGAUGGCGAAGGCAGGUCUCUGGGCAUUAACUGACGCUGAGGAGCGAAAGCAUGGGGAGCGAACAGG
rnacentral:rRNA from 1 species